AUAAGUUUCAUUUCUUCGAUUACAUUUUUUUUUUUUUAGUAAAAUCUCCUCCCCUCCAAUUUCUCUUAACCAUUUUCAGUGCACAGAAUGAGAGGUCUUUUGGAUCUUGGUUGUGGAAAUGUUUGAAAUGAUGUGAAACACUGUGUUUCUAUUCCCUUUUUAAUAUUUCUUACAUGUUCUGAUGCUCUAACGUGUAGGCAUCUUAUUGUUCUCCCUAUAUAUAGUAAGUCACAUGGAC